AGGAAAAAACGAAAACAAAGAAGACUUAAGGGAAAGAAAAAGGAGAAAAGAUCGAGAGAGAGAGAAUGAUGAAGAAGCAAGUGACGAUAGUGGCUGCUCUUCUAAUUCUGGUGGUUUUGUUUUCCAACAUGGAUAUGGUGGCGGAGGCUAAAUUAGGCCACGGACCAUAUAGAAAGUUAGGCGCAGAAAACUGCUAUGACGCUUGCACCACCGGCUGCGUCAAUCCUGAUAAUAAAAAGCUGAUCCGAUGCCAUCACAAAUGCUACGUGUGGCGGUAUAGGAGCUGAAAAAGCAAGAGAGACUCGUGCUUAAACUUUAUAUUUACUAAAGACCCAUAUACAUGUAUUUGCAGGAGCUGAUGUACUUUGUAACCAACAAUAACAACAACUAUGGCAAGAUUGUAAUAAUUAAGCUGUAUAUAUGCGCAAAAAAAAAUUAUUGGAAUAGAAUAGAUUUUCAGAAAAAAAAAGAAUCUUCAUUAUUAAAAAGAGUUUCUAAAUAAUGCAAAUUUGCAUU